rnacentral:rRNA from 1 species
AUUGAACGCUGGCGGUAGGCCUAACACAUGCAAGUCGAGCGGUAACACAGGGAGCUUGCUCCCGGGUGACGAGCGGCGGACGGGUGAGUAAUGUCUGGGAAACUGCCUGAUGGAGGGGGAUAACUACUGGAAACGGUAGCUAAUACCGCAUAACGUCGCAAGACCAAAGAGGGGGACCUUCGGGCCUCUUGCCAUCAGAUGUGCCCAGAUGGGAUUAGCUAGUAGGUGGGGUAAUGGCUCACCUAGGCGACGAUCCCUAGCUGGUCUGAGAGGAUGACCAGCCACACUGGAACAGAGACACGGUCCAGACUCCUACGGGAGGCAGCAGUGGGGAAUAUUGCACAAUGGGCGCAAGCCUGAUGCAGCCAUGCCGCGUGUAUGAAGAAGGCCUUCGGGUUGUAAAGUACUUUCAGCGGGGAGGAAGGUGUUGAGGUUAAUAACCUCAGCAAUUGACGUUACCCGCAGAAGAAGCACCGGCUAACUCCGUGCCAGCCGCCGCAGUAA